CGGCAGCAGCUGAAGGUGAAAGAGCUGUGUGGAUGCCUUUAAAGGUAUUUUCUCAGCCUGUAUGCGAGUUUGGGACAUAAUAUCCCCAAAGAAGACGCAGAGCAGGAGGAAGAAGACGAGGAGAUGGCAGCUUCUCAGGGACAGUUGACAUUCCGGGAUGUGGCCAUAGACUUCACUCAAGAGGAGUGGGAAUGCCUGGGCCUCGGUCAGCGGGCAUUUACACAGACGUGAUGUUAGGGAACUACGGGAACCUGGCCUCCUUGGGACUUGUAGUCUCUGGGCUGAAUCUGGUCACCCUUCUGGAGCAACUGAACAAUCCCAGGAGUAUAAGGAGAGUGGAGACAGCAGCC